CUACGGGAGGCUGCAGUGGGGAAUAUUGGACAAUGGGCGAAAGCCUGAUCCAGCCAUGCCGCGUGUGUGAAGAAGGCCUUCGGGUUGUAAAGCACUUUCAGUGGGGAAGAAAGCCUUGGGGCUAAUACCCUCGAGGAAGGACAUCACCCACAGAAGAAGCACCGGCUAACUCCGUGCCAGCAGCCGCGGUAAUACGGAGGGUGCGAGCGUUAAUCGGAAUUACUGGGCGUAAAGCGCGCGUAGGCGGUCUGAUAAGCCGGUUGUGAAAGCCCCGGGCUCAACCUGGGAACGGCAUCCGGAACUGUCAGGCUAGAGUGCAGGAGAGGAAGGUAGAAUUCCCGGUGUAGCGGUGAAAUGCGUAGAGAUCGGGAGGAAUACCAGUGGCGAAGGCGGCCUUCUGGACUGACACUGACGCUGAGGUGCGAAAGCGUGGGUAGCAAACAGGAUUAGAUACCCUGGAGUC
rnacentral:rRNA from 1 species